rnacentral:rRNA from 1 species
GACGAACGCUGGCGGCGUGCUUAACACAUGCAAGUCGAACGGAAAGGCCCUGCUUUUGUGGGUUGCUCGAGUGGCGAACGCGUGAGUAACACGUGAGUAACCUGCCCUUGACUUUGGGAUAUCUUCAGGAAACUGGGGCUAAUAUCGGAUAUGAUCUCCUGCUGCAUGGUGGGGGUUGGAAAGUUUCGGCGGUUCGGGAUGGACUCGCGGCUUCUCAGCUUGUUGGUGUGGUAGUUGCUUACCAAGGGUUUGACGGGUAGCCGGCAUGAGAGGGUGACCGGCCACAUUGGGACUAAGGUACGGACCAGAAGCCAACGGGAGGCAGCAGUGGGGAGUAUUGCACAAUGGGCGGAAGCCAGAUGCAGAAACGUCGCGUGCGGAAUGACGGCCUACGGGUUGUAAACAGCUGUCGACGGUGACGAAGAGUGAGUGACGGUAAUGGGUAAAGAAGCAACGGCUAACUACGUG